GUGGGGAAUAUUGGACAAUGGGCGCAAGCCUGAUCCAGCCAUGCCGCGUGAGUGAUGAAGGCCCUAGGGUUGUAAAGCUCUUUCACCGGUGAAGAUAAUGACGGUAACCGGAGAAGAAGCCCCGGCUAACUUCGUGCCAGCAGCCGCGGUAAUACGAAGGGGGCUAGCGUUGUUCGUAAUUACUGGGCGUAAAGCGCACGUAGGCGGGUAUUUAAGUCAGGGGUGAAAUCCCGGAGCUCAACUCCGGAACUGCCUUUGAUACUGGGUACCUAGAGUAUGGAAGAGGUAAGUGGAAUUCCGAGUGUAGAGGUGAAAUUCGUAGAUAUUCGGAGGAACACCAGUGGCGAAGGCGGCUUACUGGUCCAUUACUGACGCUGAGGUGCGAAAGCGUGGGGAGCAAACAGGAUUAGAAACCCUAGUAGUCC
rnacentral:rRNA from 1 species